GCGCCAAAGACUCGCUCUUCGCUUCAAAUGUCACGGUUAAAUGAGUUUGCCUGAGAGCUCCAAAGAAGAUCCUCCAGACUUCAGCAUGAAGCGCAAAAAAGAAGAAAAAAGUGACUGCGCAUCUGAGAGAGGAUCAGCAUCUUCACCUGUCAGUUGUCCCUCUGUGAAGAGUGAUAGCUCCAGAGAAUAUCCUCCAGACCUCAGCAUGAAGCAAAAAA